rnacentral:rRNA from 1 species
UACGUAGGGUGCAAGCGUUGUCCGGAAUUAUUGGGCGUAAAGAGCUCGUAGGCGGUUUGUCGCGUCUGCUGUGAAAACUCGGGGCUUAACUCCGGGCCUGCAGUGGGUACGGGCAGACUAGAGUGCGGUAGGGGAGACUGGAAUUCCUGGUGUAGCGGUGAAAUGCGCAGAUAUCAGGAGGAACACCGGUGGCGAAGGCGGGUCUCUGGGCCGUAACUGACGCUGAGGAGUGAAAGCGUGGGGAGCAAACAGG